CUCAGGCCCAUCCCUGCAAUGUCCCUCACACAGGCACACGGACCCUGCCAAGUCAAAGUGCCUGGAGAGGACUCACAGCACGGGCUAGGCAGGGGCUAAGUGCUUUCAUCCUGGUUCUCCAACGGAAGGUGCUCUUUUGUUUUGUCUGGGGAGGGGGAGAGCCCACAAAAGGCAUUUCCCAUCCACAAGUGUGACCUGUAGCUGGUGCGAGAG
rnacentral:lncRNA from 1 species